GACGAACGCUGGCGGCGUGCCUAAUACAUGCAAGUCGAACGCAGUGGGGACGGGUGAGUAACCCGUGGGUAACCUCCCAUCAGAGGGGAUAACACUUGGAAACAGGUGCUAAACCGAUACUGAUGGAUGGACCCGCGGUGCAUUAGCUAGUUGGUGGGGUACCGGCACACCAAGGCCACGAGGCAUAGCCGACCGGGGAGGGUGAUCGGCCACAAUGGGAGUGAGACACGGCCCAGACUCCUACGGUAGGCAGCAUGAGGGAAUCGUCGGCAAUGGACGAAAGGCUGACCGAGCAACGCCGCGUGAGUGAAGAAGGUUUUCGGAUCGUAAAGCUCUUUUGUUAGAGAAGCGGUAUCUAACCAGAAAGCCACGGCUAACUACGUGCCAGCAGCCGCGGUAAUUC
rnacentral:rRNA from 1 species